UGCAAGUCGAGCGAUGAAAUCCUUCGGGAUGGAUUAGCGGCGGACGGGUGAGUAACACGUGGGUAACCUGCCUCAAAGAGGGGGAUAGCCUCCCGAAAGGGAGAUUAAUACCGCAUAACAUUAGUUUUUCGCAUGAAGAACUAAUUAAAGGAGUAAUCCGCUUUGAGAUGGACCCGCGGCGCAUUAGCUAGUUGGUGAGGUAAAGGCUCACCAAGGCGACGAUGCGUAGCCGACCUGAGAGGGUGAUCGGCCACAUUGGAACUGAGACACGGUCCAGACUCCUACGGGAGGCAGCAGUGGGGAAUAUUGCACAAUGGGCGAAAGCCUGAUGCAGCAACGCCGCGUGAGUGAUGAAGGCCUUCGGGUUGUAAAGCUCUGUCUUUUGGGACGAUAAUGACGGUACCAAAGGAGGAAGCCACGGCUAACUACGUGCCAGCAGCCGCGGUAAUACGUAGGUGGCGAGCGUUGUCCGGAUUUACUGGGCGUAAAGGAUGCGUAGGCGGAUAUUUAAGUGAGAUGUGAAAUACCCGAGCUUAACUUGGGUGCUGCAUUUCA
rnacentral:rRNA from 1 species